rnacentral:rRNA from 1 species
GACGAACGCUGGCGGCGUGCUUAACACAUGCAAGUCGAACGGAAAGGCCCUGCUUUUGUGGGGUGCUCGAGUGGCGAACGGGUGAGUAACACGUGAGUAACCUGCCCUUGACUUUGGGAUAACUUCAGGAAACUGGGGCUAAUACCGGAUAGGAGCUCCUGCUGCAUGGGGGGGGUUGGAAAGUUUCGGCGGUUGGGGAUGGACUCGCGGCUUAUCAGCUUGUUGGUGGGGUAGUGGCUUACCAAGGCUUUGACGGGUAGCCGGCCUGAGAGGGUGACCGGCCACAUUGGGACUGAGAUACGGCCCAGACUCCUACGGGAGGCAGCAGUGGGGAAUAUUGCACAAUGGGCGGAAGCCUGAUGCAGCAACGCCGCGUGCGGGAUGACGGCCUUCGGGUUGCAAACCGCUUUCGCCUGUGACGAAGCGUGAGUGACGGUAAUGGGUAAAGAAGCACCGGCUAACUACGUG